rnacentral:rRNA from 1 species
CCGGUAUGCUCAGCUGAUUUUCCAGAAUGCGCGUUGCACGUGACUAGUAUAUUGCUCGCUUUUCACUUCAGUGUUCCCUGGACUUCACUUCCCUGGCUUAUCAUAACCGAUAAUACAGGCGCUGGCCUGUUCCAAA